UACGUAGGGCGCAAGCGUUGUCCGGAAUUAUUGGGCGUAAAGAGCUACGUAGGCGGUUUGUCGCGUCUGCUGUGAAACCUAAGGCUCAACCUUGGGCUUGCAGUGGGUACGGGCAGACUAGAGUGCGGUAGGGGGUGACUGGAAUUCUGGUGUAGCGGUGAAAAUGCGCAGAUAUCAGGAGGAACACCGGUGGGCGAAGGCGG
rnacentral:rRNA from 1 species